GGAAGGUCCGGGCGNNAUCCGGANUNACUGGGUNUNAAGGGAGCGNAGGCCGGAGANUAAGCGNGUNGUGAAANGUAGACGCNCAACGUCUGCACUGCAGCGCGAACUGGUUUUCUNGAGUACGCAAAAGUGGGCGGAAUUUUGGGUGUAGCGGUGAAAUGCGUAGAGAUCUGGAGGAAUACCGGUGGCGAAGGCGGCCCCCUGGACGAAGACUGACGCUCAGGUGCGAAAGCGUGGGGAGCAAACAGGAUUAGAUACCCUGGUAGUCCACGCCGUAAACGAUGUCGACUUGGAGGUUUGUGCCCUUUGAGGCGUGGCUUUCCGGAGCUAACGCGUUAAGUCGACCGCCUGGGGAGU
rnacentral:rRNA from 1 species